rnacentral:lncRNA from 1 species
ACAACUCACUCUCCACAGUGCUCUUACAGCCUAUUGGGAACAUGUCUCACAAAGGCCUGUGAAACGCAGUUUCUUCCCAGCCCUGAUCUCACUGAAGUAGAACUUCUGCUCUGCCGUGUCCUACAUUGCUCUAGAGGUGGAAGUCACAAAGCCCUGUCUGGGUUCCUUAAGAGGUGACAGGCUACACACCAUCUUGUGUCCAGCUCUUUCCCAAGGUGAGAAAGAACUCGCUUUCCCCUGGGCGCUUACAGCCUACCGGACCUCUGAUACAAAGACCUGACAUGCAGUUUCGUUCCAGCCCAGAUCUCGCCACUUUGGAAGUUCUGCUCUAAGCCAUGCCCUACAUUGCUCUAAAGGUGGAAGUGACAAAGUGCUGACACAUUGCCUCCAAAGGAGACAAGCCACAAACGGUCUUCCUUCCAGCUCUUUGGGAGCGAAGAAACAUCUCGCUCUCCACAGUGCUCUUGCAGCCUACCGGGAAAAUCUCAUACAAAGGCCUGUGAAACGCAGUUUCUUUCCAACCCUGAGCACGCUGAAGUAGAACUUCUACUCUGUAGUGUGCUACAUUGCCUUCGAUGUGCACAGGACAAAGUCCUGAACUGUUUCCUCAAAGGGAGACAGGUCACAGACCAUCUGGCUUCCAGCUCUUUAGCAUGGUGAGAAAGAACUCGCUUUCUCCUGAACUCCUACAGCCUACUGGGAACAUCUCAUACAAAGACCUGAAACGCAGUUUGUUUCCAGCCAUGAUCUCACCGCUUUGUAACGUCUGCUCUAAGCCAUGUUCUACACUGCUCUAGAGGUGGAAGUGACAAAACGCUGACUCAUUGCCUCCAAAGGUGACAAGCCACAAACAGUCUUCCUUCCAGCUCUUUGGGAAGCUAAGAAACAACUGGCUCUCCACAGUGCUCUUACAGCCUACCGGGAACAUCUCUUACAAAGGCCUGUGAAACUCACUUUCAUCCCAGCCCUGAUCACUCUGAAGUAGAACUUCUGCUCUACCGUGUGAUACAUUGCCCUAGAGGUGGAAGUCACAAAGCCCUGUCUGGCUUCCUUAAGUGGAGACAGGCUACAGACCCUCUUGCUUUCUAAGAACAAGAGAUUGCACCUCUGGGGCAAUGCAGGAAAUGGCAGAGCAGAAGUUCUACUUCAGCGAGAUCAGGGCAGGGAAGAAACUGCGUUUCACAGAUCAUUGUGAUAGAUGUUCCCGGUAGCUGUAAGAGCACUGUGGAGAGUGACUUGUUGCUUAGCUUCCCAAAGAUCUGGAAG